rnacentral:rRNA from 1 species
AGAAGUUUGAUCCUGGCUCAGAUUGAACGCUGGCGGCAGGCCUAACACAUGCAAGUCGAACGGUAGCACAGAGAGCUUGCUCUCGGGUGACGAGUGGCGGACGGGUGAGUAAUGUCUGGGAAACUGCCCGAUGGAGGGGGAUAACUACUGGAAACGGUAGCUAAUACCGCAUAAUGUCGCAAGACCAAAGAGGGGGACCUUCGGGCCUCUUGCCAUCGGAUGUGCCCAGAUGGGAUUAGCUAGUAGGUGAGGUAACGGCUCACCUAGGCGACGAUCCCUAGCUGGUCUGAGAGGAUGACCAGCCACACUGGAACUGAGACACGGUCCAGACUCCUACGGGAGGCAGCAGUGGGGAAUAUUGCACAAUGGCGCAAGCCUGAUGCAGCCAUGCCGCGUGUAUGAAGAAGGCUUCGGGUUGUAAAGUACUUCAGCGAGGAGAAGGCGUUGUGGUUAAUAACCACAG